rnacentral:tRNA from 1 species
GUGGUAUAGCGGUCAGAACGCUGGCCUUGUAAUCCUGGGGUCUCGGGUUCGAUUCCCGGC